rnacentral:rRNA from 1 species
GCGUGAGAAUCUGCCUUCAGGUCGGGGACAACAGAAGGAAACUUCUGCUAAUCCCGGAUGAGCCUUAGGGUAAAAGAGAAAUNUGCCUGAAGAUGAGCUCGCGUCUGAUUAGCUAGUUGGUGGGGUAAAAGCUUACCAAGGCAACGAUCAGUAGCUGGUCUGAGAGGAUGAGCAGCCACACUGGGACUGAGACACGGCCCAGACUCCUACGGGAGGCAGCAGUGGGGAAUUUUCCGCAAUGGGCGAAAGCCUGACGGAGCAAGACCGCGUGGGGGAGGANAGGCUCUAGGGUUGUAAACCCCUUUUCUUUGGGAAGAAGUUCNUGACGGUACCAAAGGAAUCAGCCUCGGCUAACUCCGUGCCAGCAGCCGCGGUAAUACGGAGGAGGCAAGCGUUAUCCGGAAUGAUUGGGCGUAAAGCGUCCGCAGGUGGCCAUGUAAGUCUGCUGUCAAAACCCAGGGCUCAACUCUGGUCAGGCAGUGGAAACUACAAAGCUAGAGUCUGGUAGGGGCAAAGGGAAUUCCCGGCGUAGCGGUGAA